ACUUUACUGCGCAUGCGUGCUAUUUCCCCAGCCAGGGACGCCGGACAUAGUUUAUAAAAACAGAGCAGUACAAGAAGUGCUGAUACUUUCACCAUGGUGGUUACUUCCGAGAGGAGCGGACACUGAACAUAGGAGGUCGGAGACUUUUGAAGGGGAGGAGCCAUGGCCUGCUCUCCGGUGCCUCUGGAUGAGCAGCAGGUGACCGAAUGUGACGAGCUGGGAAAGGAGCGUUCCCUGGCUGCACUGCACCCGGACAGGAAGCAGGAGCGACUCUUUGUGCCUUACAAGACGCUGUCAGACGGCGGCUCUCCUGCUGAGGUGGAGGAGUUCUUGGAACGCGCCAAGUUCAUCUUGGAGGACCUGGAGUGGCUGCUCGCUCUGCCGCACGACAAAUUCUGGUGUCAGGUGCUGUUUGACGAGUCCCUGCAGAAAUGUUUAGACUCGUACCUCCAUUAUGCUCCUCGCGGGCUGGACCCGGCCGCCCCGCCCUCGUCCCCGGCGGCGGCUGAAACGCAGCGCUCGGUCCACAGGGCCGUCUUCUUGACCUUCCUCAGGAUGGCCACUCACAAGGAGUCAAAGGAGAACUUCAUCACGCCUGCUGUGUUUGGAGAAAUCAUCUAUGAGAACUUCCUCUUUGACAUUCCCAAAGUGAUGGAUCUGUGUGCGCUCUUUGGGAAGGGCAACAGUCCGCUGCUGCACAAGAUGAUAGAGAACAUCUUCACGCAGCAGCCAUCUUACUACACAGACUUGGACGACACGGUACCGACCGUCUUGGAGGUGUUUGACACCAUCACGGAGAAGUGUGGCCUGCCGUGCGACGGCGCCGCCGCCGCCGCGCCCGUGAAGCUCGACGCGCACAAGCAGCCGACUGCGGUCAGCAUGAGUCAGCAGGACUUUGUGGACAUUGUUCUCUACCUGUGUGACUCCAGCAGCACCUUGCACGCCUUCCUGAGCGUCUUCCCCGCCGCCUGCGCCACCUUCCAAUCCCGCAGCUUCCUCUGCAGGCUGACCUCCUUUUACGAGACCGUCGUGCCCGACCUGGAGAAGGCCACGAAGAAGAGGAAGUUUGAGGAUGAAAGGCUCCAGGAGGACGUGUGGAGGAGGCUGUCUCAUUCCUGCCGGAAGAUGCUGGAGACGGCUCACCUGCUGCUGCAUCACACCUGCCUGCAGCCCAUCCUGGAAGGGGCAGGAAACACAGCAGCGUUUGCGGAGGAGCUGCUCCAACACUUCACCUCCUUCCUGUCAGAGAAAAGGUUCCUGUCGGACUAUGAUGAGCUCUUUCCCAUCGCGGACGACAUCAGCCUCCUCCAGCAAGCGCUUCCCAUCUUAGACGAGACCAGGACGUCCUACCUGCUGCAGGGCGUCCAGAGCGCCUGGGACAGCGUGGGCCGGCGCAGACCGCAGCCCGCCGCUUCCUCGUCGCAGCCCGCCAAUCAGGCAGCAGCGGGCGGGGCGGAAGGUGGAAGAGAGAGCCCCGUGGGUGCGGAGGCCAUGUUGGACGUCCCGCCUAAAGGAAGCAACGGAUCCGUGUGCACGGUGAGCGAGGCGGAGCUGGAGUCGCUGCUGUCGUGUAUCCGGGACCUGCUGCCCGACCUCGGCGAAGGCUUCCUGUUGGCGUGUCUGCAAGAGUAUGGCUACGAUUCCGAGCUGGUCAUCAACAACAUCCUGGAGGACCGACUGGCGCCCGGCCUGGACCAACUGGACCGAGCCAUGCCCAGGCCGGUGAAGGAGGAGCUCCCCGGCGUCCUGAGCAGCAGGUCCAACGUGUUUGACGACGACGAGUUCGACGUCUUCCGCAGGGAUCGUGUGGACAUGUCCCGCGUCCGCAAGGGCAGGAAGAAAGACGAGGACGCUCGUGAGCUUCUCGACGACAAGCGACACGUCUCGGAGCAGCGAGCUCGUUACCACGCCUACCAGACCGUUGUGGACGAGGUGGACGAGGUGGUCGCGCAGGCGGGCGACUACGCCCUGGACGAUUACGACGACGAGUACGACGACACGUACGACAUGAACCAAGUGGGAGCCAACGACCUGGACGGAGACAGCCUGCUCAACAGGAGACCCUUUACUGUCCCACGAGUCCUGCAACGGGGGGCCAGAGCUGAGGGCGGCGGAGACGAGGAGCAGCAGGACGAGGACGACGAGGACGACACCCUGCAGAGCAACGUGAACCGAGACCAGUUUGUUCAAGACCCGGCGCUGCUGAGGGAGCGAGCCGAGGCCAGACGGGCCGCCAUGCAGCAGAGGAAAGGCGUCCACCCGGAGCGGGCCAGUCAGGUGACGGGACGCCCCAAAGGCCAAGGACAGACUCUGGAGACAUUCCUGGACAGACGCAAGAAGGAGGCCAACAAGGGCCGCGGCGCCAACCACAACCGCCGCAACAUGGCCGACCGCAAGAGGAACAAAGGACGGUGGUGAACGUGAUCUUGGCGGUGGCCUGCAGACCCCUGAAGAACAUCACCAUGCAAAUUUAGCUCCAAUGAGCCUGGUGACAUUUUCAGACGUCUGGAUCACAAUGACGGGCUUGGACAAAACCUGAGACAGAUCCAUCUGUAAGACACACAAAACACAAGUCUGUGUUUGAGAGGUAAGUGGCAGGUAAUGGCGGCUGGUCAACAGACGAGGAAACGUAGUACCGGGACUGACCAGCGAGAGGCAGUAGUGAGUCACGCCCAGCCUGACAGACAAGAAAAUACCACGAAGAACUCGGCUAGCCGUUAGCUUAACCUUCGAACGCGUCUCAUUUUUUAGCAUGUAAGCGGCUAAACAGAAGACAUUCCGGUAAAUUUAUGAUGUAUUGUAGCUUAGUAUCCGCUACAUGUAUCACUUUAUAUGUUAAAGCACUAUUUUGUUCCAUGUUUUGUUUGCGUUUGUUUCAAUCGACCUUCUUCCUGGUUAUAUUCUCGCGCUCUAACCUUUUGACCAAUUGGAGACGAGAAUGGUGGAAGUGACGCAUUUAAGUACGCUCGGAAUUGUUUUUGCUUCACACUGACACGGAAAGUGACUGCGUUUCAACAUUGUUUAAUACACACUUUGGUUACCUCUCUGACCGUCUUUUGGUUGAGGGCCAAGAUGAUGAGAGCAGACGCUCCGAGGACCAACGCUCGCUUCAUCUGCACAACACAAACGUACCGUACUUGACUUUUACUGAACAGAAGGCGGUAAGUGACGUGGACAAAAUGGCAGAAAGUUCUUCGCUUACUCUGCUGACCACCGCCUCAGCGAAGGACUCCUGCCUCCCUGUGGACACGUGACUGUCAUCCACCGGCAGCACGCCGAUCCAAAGUUCCGCCUCCUUGCUGACGUCACCAUCCGCACCUGUGCUCACCCCAGGCUCCUCCCCCUGAAUCUGCAGGCAAUGGCAAAGCUGUAAGAACGCUCACGGCGGUGAAUAGUAAUAAUGGCGUGCUCCCUGUACCAGGACCAGUUCGCCCUCCAGGUGCUCCGGUUCCUCGUCCCGGCCCUCGGCGCUGGCGGCCACCACCUCUCCGCGAAGCAGAGCUCCGCUUAGACGCUGCUCCGCCGGGUACACUUCCACCACCGCGACCUGCUCCGCCGCGGCUGCGGCCAUCAGAAGCCCCGCCGGCAACAGCAGCAGGACGAGCGGGGACGCGCGGCGACGAGCUUCGGCCAUGGUCCAGCGGCCUCACAUCGGCGAGGCCAAAGUCAGUUCCAAGUGUAAUACUUGAAUUGACCACCAGAGGGCGCCAUAGCAGAAAGAGCAGCAUUUGGUUCAGCCCAGAAGUAAAUAAAAGGCUCCAGUUUGACCCCGGAACAGACCAAGAUGCAGAAACUCACAACUGGAAGGUCUCGUUGAACUUGGCGCUCCAGCAGUUGUUUUUGGACUUGGUGGUGAAGCGGCGCUUCUUGUCCGCCAGGGAGGGGCCCACCAUGGACAGCUCCACGAACGGCCGGAACAUCCCCGACGUCUGCCACUUCAUGUCGUUGACGGCGAUGACUGGAGGGACGGGACAUUGUCAGCACGGGGCUGCCGCCCUUCCGAAAGGCGUUUUGGGGUCCCAGCUCACCUCUCACGUUG